UGUACAAGUGCUAUAAUUACUAAGCUAAAUCUAAAUGGUGUUUUGCAUCUUCCACCUUCCUCCUUCAGAAGCUCUACUGCAAAACAAGGAAAAGAUCCUCAUUACGUUUUAAGCAUUGCAUAUCAUAUGAGGCCCCACAUGGACAAAAACCUACUGCGUUUGAAAACUGACUGUUUAAUGAGUGGAUGUUAUACAACUUAAUUUAUUGCUUGGAGGUGCAAGAAGGCUGAAGUAAGAAUACAAGCUCAAAGAUUACGGUAUAGUUUCUAAUACUUGUAGAACUAAAUUAGAUUGUUUAGAUUUUCACAUAGAUCUGGUAACAAGCUCAUCAU
ensembl:lncRNA